rnacentral:rRNA from 1 species
CCUACGGGAGGCAGCAGUGGGGAAUAUUGGACAAUGGGCGCAAGCCUGAUCCAGCCAUACCGCGUGUGUGAAGAAGGCCUUUUGGUUGUAAAGCACUUUAAGCGAGGAGGAGGCUCUUGAGGAUAAUACCCUUGAUGAGUGGACGUUACUCGCAGAAUAAGCACCGGCUAACUCUGUGCCAGCAGCCGCGGUAAUACAGAGGGUGCGAGCGUUAAUCGGAAUUACUGGGCGUAAAGCGCGCGUAGGCGGCUUGUUAAGUCGGAUGUGAAAUCCCCGGGCUCAACCUGGGCACUGCAUUCGAUACUGGCAAGCUAGAGUAUGGGAGAGGAAGGUAGAAUUCCAGGUGUAGCGGUGAAAUGCGUAGAGAUCUGGAGGAAUACCGAUGGCGAAGGCAGCCUUCUGGCCUAAUACUGACGCUGAGGUGCGAAAGCAUGGGGANCAAACAGGAUUAGAUACCCUGGUAGUCCAUGCCGUAAACGAUGUCAACUAGCCGUUGGGGACCUUGAGUCUUUAGUGGCGCAGCUAACGCGAUAAGUUGACCGCCGUGGGGAGUACGGUCGCGAAGACUAAAACUCAAAGGAAUUGACGG